rnacentral:rRNA from 1 species
GAUGAACGCUGGCGGUAUGCUUAACACAUGCAAGUCGAACGGACUCUUCGGAGUUAGUGGCGGACGGGUGAGUAACGCGUGAGAAUCUGGCUUUGGGUUCGGGACAACCACUGGAAACGGUGGCUAAUACCGGAUGUGCCGAGAGGUAAAAGAGAAAUUGCCUGAAGAUGAGCUCGCGUCUGAUUAGCUAGUUGGUGAGGUAAAGGCUCACCAAGGCAGCGAUCAGUAGCUGGUCUGAGAGGAUGACCAGCCACACUGGGACUGAGACACGGCCCAGACUCCUACGGGAGGCAGCAGUGGGGAAUGUUCCGCAAUGGGCGAAAGCCUGACGGAGCAGUACCGCGUGAGGGAAGAAGGCUCUUGGGUUGUAAACCUCUUUUCUUAGGGAAGAACAAAAUGACGGUACCUAAGGAAUCAGCAUCGGCUAACUCCGUG